rnacentral:ncRNA from 1 species
UUUGGGGGUGCGGCAGCCUCGGUUAUACAUUAAAUCUACAUUGAUAAGCGCAAUUUGGUUGACAGCAGGCUGCAGCUGAGAUUAUACCCUUUGAACCUGAUCCGGGUAAUACCGGCGUAGAGAAACAAAUAAUU